UGACUGGUCUCAGCAGUGAUGUAUUCCCACUAGGUCACAUGCUACUUGGGAGACAUGUCACUGCUGAGGCCAGUCAUUGGCUGCAGCAGUGCAUACAACCCCGUCUGUGCAUUAGUGGAAUCUGGAAAUCUGGCGAAGACAGCCAGGGAGCCAGAACCGAGCUCAAGGAGCAGAUUGGUGUAGUGUCUGGAAGUGGACCCUGCGUCAUCGACUGGCGCCAGUAGAAGACGUCAUCGAAAGACGGCGCCCAGCACAGAACCCGGAAGUAUUCAGCAACAACAAGUAGCGGCAGUGAGCAGGAAUACAGCCGAUACAGCAUGUCAGCAUAAAGAAGCAGCGAUCACAUACCCUGAACUACAAUGGAUUUACAGCUUACCUGGAUACAGCAAGGGAGAAUCCUCUACUCCAGCACUGGCUAAAGUUCCUGAGAUCAGCGGUGAAUUUCCUGGGAAGCUGAAGCUGAGGUUUCCUCAGUCCUCGGUUUCUGUGCAGGAGGUUCCAUCUAGUGGACUUAACUGAGAUGAAAUCUGGUUCCAGCUGGUUUGGAUCCCUCUUCUGCCCAGUGACAGGUGUCCUGGGGUCAGCCGUUACUGUUAAUUGGUCAGCUGUCCAGCAGCGGGAAGAAGUCCAUCAGCUGAUUGGUUGAAGCCUGCUGUGGCGGGAAGUCUGCAGGUUUAAAAGAAAGGACAUCGCUAUUAGUCACCUGCAGUUUUUAAGAAGACCUGUGCCCCACCCAGA